rnacentral:rRNA from 1 species
CACGUAGGGGGCGAGCGUUGUUCGGAAUCAUUGGGCGUAAAGGGCGCGCAGGCGGCCGGGUAAGUCUGGUGUAAAAUGGUCAUGCUCAACAUGAUCAUGCGCUGGAAACUGUCCGGCUUGAGUCAACGAGGGGAUGCCGGAAUUCCAGGUGUAGGGGUGAAAUCUGUAGAUAUCUGGAAGAACACCGAUGGCGAAGGCAGGCAUCUGGCGACUGACUGACGCUGAGGCGCGAAGGUGCGGGGAGCAAACA